GCACGCCGCGUGAGUGAAGAAGGUUUUCGGAUCGUAAAACUCUGUUGUUGGAGAAGAAUGUAUCUGAUAGUAACUGAUCAGGUAGUGACGGUAUCCAACCAGAAAGCCACGGCUAACUACGUGCCAGCAGCCGCGGUAAUACGUAGGUGGCAAGCGUUGUCCGGAUUUAUUGGGCGUAAAGCGAGCGCAGGCGGUUUCUUAAGUCUGAUGUGAAAGCCUUCGGCUCAACCGAAGAAGUGCAUCGGAAACUGGGAAACUUGAGUGCAGAAGAGGACAGUGGAACUCCAUGUGUAGCGGUGAAAUGCGUAGAUAUAUGGAAGAACACCAGUGGCGAAGGCGGCUGUCUGGUCUGUAACUGACGCUGAGGCUCGAAAGCAUGGGUAGCAAACAGGAUUAGAUACCCUGGUAGUCCAUGCCGUAAACGAUGAGUGCUAGGUGUUGGAGGGUUUCCGCCCUUCAGUGCCGCAGCUAACGCAUUAAGCACUCCGCCUGGGGAGUACGACCGCAAGGUUGAAACUCAAAGGAAUUGACGGGGGCCCGCACAAGCGGUGGAGCAUGUGGUUUAAUUCGAAGCAACGCGAAGAACCUUACCAGGUCUUGACAUCCUUUGACCACUCUAGAGAUAGAGCUUUCCCUUCGGGGACAAAGUGACAGGUGGUGCAUGGUUGUCGUCAGCUCGUGUCGUGAGAUGUUGGGUUAAGUCCCGCAACGAGCGCAACCCUUAUUACUAGUUGCCAGCAUUUAGUUGGGCACUCUAGUGAGACUGCCGGUGACAAACCGGAGGAAGGUGGGGACGACGUCAAAUCAUCAUGCCCCUUAUGACCUGGGCUACACACGUGCUACAAUGGAUGGUACAACGAGUUGCGAGACCGCGAGGUUUAGCUAAUCUCUUAAAACCAUUCUCAGUUCGGAUUGUAGCUGCACCUCGC
rnacentral:rRNA from 2 species